UCACGGGAACAGACGAGCUAGCUGACGUAGAGGACGUUGAGUUGCCACUCGAGGAUUUUUGCUGCCCAUUGGACGCGUUGGAUGAUUUGGUUGUAGUUUUAUUGCCAGACAUCAGAGGAGUGCAUCAAACAUACCUUCGCUAUGGAGCUGUAUCUGCCCCGAUUGUAGCAGGUUUAACAGCACAUCCUGUGGUAAGGUGCUCAGUGCCGACGCCGGAUAGAUGAUGCUGCUCGUUAUCUGAGGCGCCACACUGUUCGGUGCCGGUGCAACGAUUGUUGACGAUGUGGCGGUGGAUAUUGUCGACGAUGGUGGUACUGCCGACGGUGCCACCGGUUCCUGUUUCACCUUUACCGUGGAUGCCUUCGCUUUGCCGGACUUUGGUUGCUGUUUCUGCUGCUGUAGCUGCUGCUGACAGUGUUGAAUUUGCUGCUGAAGUGCUUGCUGCUGUUGCUGAAUUUGCUGCUGGAUGGCGUUAAUGGUAGCAGCAGCAGCAGCACUUGAAGCGGUCAUCACGCUUGUUGUUGCUGUGCCGGCAGCAGUGCUUGAUGCUGCACCACUUCCUGCACUCUGUGUACCAGCACUUCUGGUAGUGUGCUUUUCGUUCGAGCUGCCUUGCUGCGGUUGCUGCUGCUGCAAAUGAUGAUUAUUACUACUGUUGACGUUGGUAUUACUGCUAGUAUUAACGCUAGGUCCUGGAGGGGGCGAUUCCGGGGGCGAAUAAUCGUCCGAUUCACUGCCGGACGACAUCGGCGACCGAUCAUCCUGCGGAUGAAAAAGAGAAGCGGUAGGGGAAAAAGAAAACAGUGUCAGUAACGACAAGUUGACUUAUUGGCAAUUUGUUUGAACACGGCUUGCGAUGGCGUGACAUACGACAAAUGGCGUAUCAAAGUUGGUAACAGCAACAACAAAAAAGCAGGCGUGCAUAGCAUGAUCUAUGAUAUAAAAAAAUUAAACACACACACACACACACACACACACACACACAAAUACACACACACACACCAUACAUUUAAAACUAUCAUCCUUCGGCAUGCCGUAAAAGCACUUCAGCAGCAGCAGUAGCCAGAUAUUACACAAUUUGUAGCAAAAAACGGAUUAACAGGUAGGGCGCAGAUGGAGAUAAAUCGUUUCUGACCAAAUGCAAUGCAAUGCACAAGGGGGAGAGUUUACGCAGUGAAAUGGAAGCCAUCUUUGAAUGUUGGGGGGAAGCGGAGCGGAUGGCCACUAUUAUACAGCGCACGUUAGAUGAAGCUAUUGAUGGGCGGCCGUUGUGAAGUGCUGGUGUCCUAGGGCCUAGGGCUGGUUUCGGCUCAAUCGGGCACUGAAACGUGUAAUACAUCUAUACUAUCUAAGGUAGUUAUCGAUCAACCCAUGGCUGUAUAAAUGUCUCUAGAGAAUAAAUCACUUAAGAUGAUAUAA